GAAACGGCAAACCGGAGGAAACUCCGGGACGCAAAGCUAUGGGGACUACGGCUCUGCUAAGUCAGCCCGGCUGCCAA
rnacentral:ncRNA from 1 species